CGGAACCCUGACCGGGGGCAGGCGAGCCCUCCACGCGUCUUCCUUCUGUUCCUUCUGUUCCACUGCGUCUCCUCCCGGCAGUCCUCCCUCCACCAGGCAGGGCAGCAGGGCCUUGCCUAUCCCGGCCCAGGCUGACCUGGCCUCCUGGACUCACCUGGGCUGGAGGAGCGGGCAGCUCAGGACGACCAGGCGGGGCAGCUGAGGUGCCCAGGAAGGGCACCCGCGGGCCCGGGCUGUGUCAGUGGACUCUGGACCUGGGCAGUGGGUGAAGAGUGUCAGGGACUCCAGAUCAUGACCUUCGGAGGUCGGCGGUGGAGGAACGGCGGCGUGGACGCGUCCAGACCGCGGCGCUGCAGAGCGCGGCUGCGGCCCGUGCUGGGGUCCGGACGCAGCGGCAAGGCAAAGCCGCCGCGCUACGGGCCCGGCGCGCAGACUCGGGAGGCG
rnacentral:lncRNA from 1 species